CCUACGGGUGGCAGCAGUGGGGAAUAUUGCACAAUGGGCGAAAGCCUGAUCCAGCCAUGCCGCGUGUGUGAAGAAGGCCUUCGGGUUGUAAAGCACUUUCAGUGGGGAAGAAAGCCUUGGGGCUAAUACCCUCGAGGAAGGACAUCACCCACAGAAGAAGCACCGGCUAACUCCGUGCCAGCAGCCGCGGUAAUACGGAGGGUGCGAGCGUUAAUCGGAAUUACUGGGCGUAAAGCGCGCGUAGGCGGUCUGAUAAGCCGGUUGUGAAAGCCCCGGGCUCAACCUGGGAACGGCAUCCGGAACUGUCAGGCUAGAGUGCAGGAGAGGAAGGUAGAAUUCCCGGUGUAGCGGUGAAAUGCGUAGAGAUCGGGAGGAAUACCAGUGGCGAAGGCGGCCUUCUGGACUGACACUGACGCUGAGGUGCGAAAGCGUGGGUAGCAAACAGGAUUAGAUACCCGGGUAGUC
rnacentral:rRNA from 1 species